rnacentral:rRNA from 1 species
AUUUGGAUCCUGGCUCAGAUUGAACGCUGGCGGCAUGCCUUACACAUGCAAGUCGAACGGUAACAGGUCUUCGGAUGCUGACGAGUGGCGAACGGGUGAGUAAUACAUCGGAACGUGCCCGAUCGUGGGGGAUAACGAAGCGAAAGCUUUGCUAAUACCGCAUAAGAUCUACGGAUGAAAGCAGGGGACCGCAAGGCCUUGCGCGAACGGAGCGGCCGAUGGCAGAUUAGGUAGUUGGUGGGAUAAAAGCUUACCAAGCCGACGAUCUGUAGCUGGUUUGAGAGGAUGAUCAGUCACACUGGAACUGAGACACGGUCCAGACUCCUACGGGAGGCAGCAGUGGGGAAUAUUGCACAAUGGACGAAAGUCUGAUGCAGCAACGCCGCGUGGAGGAUGACACAUUUCGGUGCGUAAACUCCUUUUAUAUGAGAAGAUAAUGACGGUAUUAUAUGAAUAAGCACCGGCUAACUCCGUG